UGCGGAAAUCCCUGCUGGAAUUGGCUUGCAGGAGCCCCCAUAGGGCCAUGAAAACUGAUGCCAGGGCCAAGCAGCCUGGGGAGGCUUCGAAUGUACCCGGCAUAGGAAGGACCUGGGCACCCCGUGAAGCCCUUUCGGUGCCGAGCGAAGCCCUUGCGGCCGCUCCCAAUCCCGAUCCUGGGUUGCACCGGGCUGGAUUUUGGAGGAGCGACACGCAGUGCCAAGCAGGGACCACAGGGAAGGAAAGCGCGGCCAGAACUGGGCACGGCCGGGACGUUUCCCAUGCCAGGCUGCAUCCCUGCUUGCCCGUCCCUCGGCCCUGAUCCCAUCCUUCCCGGUGGGCAGCGACGCGGAGCAGCAGGACCCCGUGCAGGUCCCGCAGGAGAUUCCCGCCGGCUCCAGCUCCAGUCGUGCUCCUUGGGGUUGUGGAACAGCUCCUGCCAGCACCGCCGGGAAGGAUGCGUGGGACGAGGGUGUCCCUGAGGUCUCUGCUGCGCAGGGGCUUUGCCGGGACCCCCUG